rnacentral:lncRNA from 1 species
AUUCAGACUCUGAGGAAAUUAAGAAGCUAAAAUACAGAUCCCCACUGGUUACAUACAAUCUAAAUAUAAGUGAUGGACAAUCUGCAGAAGAAACAAAAGAAAGCAAACACAGAAAGAGGAGGAAAGUGAGCAUGGAUGAUUCGGGACUGAAAGUUACUGAAAACAUUACUGAACAUGAAGAUAGUCAACAGUCAAAGACAAGAUCAGCAACAAAUGUAAAGGUAGACAAUAAUCAACGUAGUUACAAACGGAAAAAGAAAAGGAAACAUAGCAAAAUACAGGAGAAUUUAUCAAGCGAACAUGAUAAGGUACACAUUAACCUUUAUUCUCUUCAAUA